AACGAACGCUGGCGGCAUGCCUAACACAUGCAAGUCGAACGAACCCUUCGGGGUUAGUGGCGCACGGGUGCGUAACGCGUGGGAAUCUGCCCUUUGCUUCGGAAUAACUCAGGGAAACUUGUGCUAAUACCGGAUGAUGUCUUCGGACCAAAGAUUUAUCGGCAAGGGAUGAGCCCGCGUAGGAUUAGGUAGUUGGUGGGGUAAAGGCCUACCAAGCCGACGAUCCUUAGCUGGUCUGAGAGGAUGAUCAGCCACACUGGGACUGAGACACGGCCCAGACUCCUACGGGAGGCAGCAGUGGGGAAUAUUGGACAAGGGGCGCAAGCCGGAUCAAGCAAUGCGGGGUGAGGGAUGAAGGCCCUCGGGUCGUAAAGCUCUUUUACCAGGGAUGAAAUGACAGUACCUGGAGAAUAAGCUCCGGCUAACUCCGU
rnacentral:rRNA from 1 species